UGUUAUUGAGUCAACGUGUUAGCUACAUUCAAGAUGGCGGACAUUUGGUUUGUUGUUUGGUGUUUUUUGCCUUUCAUAUCUUAUUCCAUUCAAGGAGAAGCCCCAACAUUAACGGGUAUAAACUUUGAACAUAAAGUAUUUAGAAGUCCUCAUUUUGUGAUGUUCUACGGGCCAUGGUGUGAACACUGUAAGAACAUGAUGUCGGCAUGGAAUGAUUUAUCCGAUCAAUAUGCAAAGCGAGAUAAGCUACAUGCAAUUAACAUUGUUAAGGUUGAUUGUACAGCUGAUACUCCUUUAUGUGCUAAGCAAAACAUCAAAGCAUAUCCAACCCUGCGACUGUAUCAUGAAGGAUUCACCAAGAGAUAUAACGGGAAGAGAAGUGUUGCUGAAUUCAUGAAAUUUGUCAACCAGCUGGUAUUUAAAGAGGUUGUCAAUAAAGAUUCAGUCACUGUUGUCAACAAUGUCAAAGUUUUGACCAAGAAGAAUUUUGAUGAGCAAACAGAAAUAGGACUACACUUUGUUAAAUUCUAUGCUCCAUGGUGUAUCCACUGCAUCAAGCUUGCACCUAUCUGGGAGUCCCUGGCAACCAAAUACAAAGACUCGCCUGAUAUAUCGAUUGCAAAGAUAGAUUGUACAGCAGAAGGAGCAAAGUGCAGUCAGCAUAAUGUGAAAGCAUUCCCAACACUCAAGCUCUUUAAAGAUGGAAAAGAGAUAAACCAAUACACGGGUGGACGGGCAUUAAAAGAGCUGGAGACAUUUGUGAUGUCACAGAUAGCUUUCAAUAUCAGGCCAGCUACAACUGACAGCACACAGUCGACUAUUGAACAUGUAGACCACUCAGCCAAUGAAGAACCACCACCACCUGCUACGGAAGACAGUGAAGAAGAUAUGAUUAAACCUUAUCAGCUGAAUGAAAANAACUUUGACUCCUUGGUUUCCUUUGGUACCACAUUUGUCAAGUUCUAUGCACCUUGGUGUAGACAUUGUAAGAUUCUUGCUCCAACCUGGGAACAACUGGCCAAGAAAUGUGCUGAAACAGCUGCAGGACCAAAGAUUGCCAGGGUGGACUGCACUGCUGAAGAAAAACUCUGUCAAACCUUUGGGGUAAGUCAGAUUCUGAUCAUGAGCUAAGGGACAUAUGGUUAUGGUCUAGCUCAUAAAAUAAAAAAUGAAAUGGGAAUCAACAGUAGCAUUUCUACAGAUUAGCUCUUCAUCCACUAAAAUUCAAAUUGAUUUUUGCAGAGGGAGGAAAACCAGAGUACCCAGAGAAAAAACCUUGAAGCACAGGAGAGAAUCCUGACAAGCAAUUCUACUCACAUAUGGCACCAAGUUUGGGAAUCCGACCCAGGUUGCCUUGAUUAACGGUUACCCCACCCUCACUCUCUUCAAAGAUGGUCAACCAAAACAAGAAUACAAUGGCAACAGAGACUUGGAAAGUUUGUAUAGGUUUGUGAUGCAACACCAUGACAAAGAAGAAUU
rnacentral:misc_RNA from 1 species